GUUAGUGGUUGAGUUAAGGAUUUCCAGUCAGGUUUCAUUGAAAAGACCAUCAUGCCUCUCAUCACUGGGCUCUUCGAUAUCUGUAGCUGAAUUUGACAUUGUUAAGAUGUGAUCUUUGUAGAACCAACUUGUAAUAAUCUUGCAAAUAAUUACAACUUGUAACCACCCUAAAAUUAUCAACUUAAUUUCUUAAAAGAUAUAUUAUUCUUGAAGUUGAAACACUAUUAAUUUGCAUUUUCCUAUGUCCAUCACAUCACAAAAUACAAGAAACAAACAUUUUAACUUUCGAUAUUCCUAUCAAUAAUUUACAUUUUAUGGGUUCUUGACAAGAUGCAGCCAGCUGCUGGGAAUAAUUAAGGCUUCAUUCGGGCUUCACAUGGAUUUCAAUCAGAAUGAGUGAGAAAUGAAUAAAUUCAGAAGGCCAAUUUUGUGUCUGGAUCUAAUGCAACAUCAUUGAAGAUCUAUGUUCAUUCUUCAAGCACAAAGCAUUCAGAAGAAUAUCAAGCUGGUCAAAUUAAAUAUGAUUCUUUUUAUGGUUUUCACAUAUUUUUGUUCACAAGAUUUUUGAAAUAAUUUUUCUAUUUUCUUUCCUAUCUCAUAAUUUAUUUAGUGAAAUUGGGGAGAUUUGAGAAAUACAGGCAAUCUUCUCUUCUCCAGGAGUUCUCCCAGAUAAGUGGUCUACUUCUCUAUCCUAAGAAGAAGAGACUAACUUCUUGUAAGGCAGAUUUGAAGUGACAACUCCUUCUUUUAUUCAAACCUUUCUUCCUCUAUCCCCCUCCCUUGUUUCUCCAACUAUGAUCUCCUUCUUCCUCUUCUUGUUUCUUCUCUUCUAUCUCUACAGCAUAUCAAAACCAGCUGUCUCCAUGUAAAAUUUCUGUCAUCAGCUCAGCAAUCAAAAUCAUUCACUCCAAUCAACUAAAACUAUUCCUAUAAGACUUAGAUGUAAAUUAAAUCCUAGUCUCUAGUUCCUUUUGUUUGCAAUACCUAUGUCCCCCUUUAUCAACCUCACCAAGAUAAAUCCUGUAUCAGGUCUAUUAAUGGAUCUGACAGAUUUUCUAGCUGAGACCAAUGAACAAAUUUUAUUACCCACUUCUUUUCUGCCUGCAAUCCUAAAUAAUCAAUCACUAGUUAUUUUAUAAAAACCACUUUCUUCAUCUUAUUUUCGCUCUCUUAUUGUGCUUUGCUACUCAAAAUCUAAACAUAGAAUUCCC
rnacentral:lncRNA from 1 species